rnacentral:rRNA from 1 species
UACGGAGGGUGCAAGCGUUAAUCGGAAUUACUGGGCGUAAAGCGUGUGUAGGCGGUUAGCUAAGUCGGAUGUGAAAGCCCCGGGCUUAACCUGGGAAUUGCAUUCGAUACUGGCUAACUUGAAUUUGGUAGAGGGAAGUGGAAUUCCGGGUGUAGCGGUGAAAUGCGUAGAUAUCCGGAGGAACAUCAGUGGCGAAGGCG